UGGCAGAAGAAACUCCGCAUCUGUCCAGCCCACAGGGUCAUUGAGGGGACCUGACAUGGCAGGUCUUGGUGUGCUUCUCUUCCUGGCAGCUUGCUCAGGAGUCACCUCCCAGGUCCAGCUGACCCAGUCUGGAGUAGAAGUGAAGAAGCCUGGGGAGUCGGUGAAGUUGACAUGUAGAACAUCUGGCUACACAUUCACCAGCUAUAGCAUGCGUUGGGUGCGUCAGGCCCCUGGGAAAGGGCUUGAGUACAUAGGAUGGAUCAAUACCAAUGGUACAGGCUAUGCCGAGGCUUUCAAAGGGCGAUUCACCAUCACCAUGGACACCUCCAUCAGCACGGCCUAUCUGCAGCAGAACAGCCUGAAGACAGAAGACACAGCCGUGUAUUACUGUGCCAGGGACACAGCGAGACAAAAAUGCAUCUAG